CUACGGGAGGCUGCAGUGGGGAAUUUUGCGCAAUGGGGGAAACCCUGACGCAGCAACGCCGCGUGAAGGAUGAAGGCCUUUGGGUCGUAAACUUCUGUCAGAGGGGAAGAAAUACUCGCAAGAGUGCUGACGGUACCCUCAAAGGAAGCACCGGCUAACUCCGUGCAGCAGCCGCGGUAAUACGGAGGGUGCAAGCGUUGUUCGGAAUUAUUGGGCGUAAAGAGCAUGUAGGCGGACUGUUAAGUCUGGUGUGAAAGCCCGGGGCUCAACCCCGGAAGUGCAUUGGAUACUGGCAGUCUUGAGUAUGGGAGAGGAAAGUGGAAUUCCGAGUGUAGGAGUGAGAUCCGUAGAUAUUCGGAGGAACACCAGUGGCGAAGGCGGCUUUCUGGACCAAUACUGACGCUGAGAUGCGAAAGCGUGGGGAGCAAACAGGAUUAGAUACCCCUGUAGUC
rnacentral:rRNA from 1 species